rnacentral:tRNA from 1 species
GCCCUAGUAGCUUAUCUUAAAGCAUUGUUCUUGUAAACCAAAGAUGGAUUACACCCUAGAGCA